rnacentral:lncRNA from 1 species
CCAAAACUUGAGGGCAAGUUUUGAAACAUUUCAAAACAUUAGGGUUUAACUUAUUUAAAUUUCAUAAACAAAACUUUUAAGUUCAAAUUUAAACUAUAAAACCUAAAGGGUACAAUUGAAACUUUUUCUCAUCACAAAUGAUCAAAUAACAAAUAAUAAUUAAUAUAGUCAUUAUCUAUAUUUGACCUAAUCUUAUUUCAAUCACUAGAUAAUUACCAAAUAACUUUAAAUAAUCCAUAUUUAUCACAUAAAUAACCAAUAUUCAAAAGAUUUGAAAUUAUCUAUUGUUUUGGCAAGGAUAAUCAUUAUUUUAAGAUAAAAUUCGGAUUUUAACUUCAUAAAAUAAUUUAAGCAUCAAAUCCAAGUCAAAACAGCAGCUAGAAUCCGAAAUACCCUCUGCCUGACGCACUGACUCGCCGAGUNACCUGACGCACUGACUCGCCGAGUUAGAUCUGAACUCGCCGAGUAGGGGCCAACUCCCCAAGUCCAGAUACUGACUCGCCGAGUUGAGUCGGGCAGAGGCCAAAAACACGUUUUUCAAUAAAUAAUUCAACAUAGC